UCGGGAAUUUUGGGCAAUGGGCGAAAGCCUGACCCAGCAACGCCGCGUGAGGGAUGAAGUAUUUCGGUAUGUAAACCUCGAAAGAAUGGGAAGAAUAAAUGACGGUACCAUUUAUAAGCUCCGGCUAACUACGUGCCAGCAGCCGCGGUAAUACGUAGGGAGCAAGCGUUGUUCGGAUUUACUGGGCGUAAAGGGCGCGUAGGCGGCGCGGUAAGUCACUUGUGAAAUCUCUGAGCUUAACUCAGAACGGCCAAGUGAUACUGCUGUGCUAGAGUGCGGAAGAGGCAACCGGAAUUCUUGGUGUAGCGGGAAAAUGCGUAGAUAUCAAGAGAAACACCUGAGGCGAAGGCGGGUUGCUGGGCCGACACUGACGCUGAUGCGCGAAAGCCAGGGGAGCAAACG
rnacentral:rRNA from 1 species